CCAAAGGCUCUUUUCAGAGCCACCCACUACUUCUGAGGAAGAACCU
rfam:Canis lupus familiaris chromosome 35, whole genome shotgun sequence.